CCUACGGGUGGCAGCAGUGAGGAAUAUUGCUCAAUGGACGAGAGUCUGAACCAGCCAAGCCGCGUGAAUGAUGAAUGCCCUAUGGGUUUUAAACUUCUUUUAUAGGGGAGUAAACCGUUCCACGUGUGGGCUUUUGUAUGUACCAUAUGUAUAAGGAUCGGCUAACUUCGCUCCAGCCGCCGCGGUAAUGCGGAGGGUCCGAGCGUUACCCGGAAUUAUUGGGUGUAAAGGGAGGGUAGGUGGUUUGUUAAGUCAGUUGUGAAAGCUUGCGGCUCAACCGUACAAUUGCAGUUGAUACUGGGAGGCUGGAGUACAGUAGAGGGGGGCGGAAUUCGUGGUGUAGCGGUGAAAUGCGUAGAGAUCACGAGGAACUCCGAUGGCGAAGGCAGUUCACUGGACUGCAACUGACACUGAUGUGCGAAAGUGUGGGUAUCAAACAGGAUUAGAUACCCCUGUAGUC
rnacentral:rRNA from 1 species